UUGAACGCUGGCGGCGGCCCAACACAUGCAAGUCGAGCGGAGCGGCGGACGGGUGAGUAAUGCGUGAGCAACCUGCCUAUGACAGUGGGAUAGCCUCGGGAAACCGGGAUUAAUACCGCAUAGUCAUAGAUGGGCUCGCGUCUGAUUAGCUAGUUGGUGAGAUAACAGCCCACCAAGGCGACGAUCAGUAGCCGGUCUGAGAGGAUGAACGGCCACAUUGGAACUGAGAGACGGGCCAAACUCCGACGGGAGGCAGCAGUGGGGAAUAUUGCACAAUGGGGGAAACCCUGAUGCAGCGACGCCGCGGGAACGAAGAAGGUAUUCGUAUCGUAAAGUUCUGUCCUAUGGGAAGCAGUACCAUAGAAGAAAGCUCCGGCUAAAUACGUGCCAGCAGCCGCGGUAAUC
rnacentral:rRNA from 1 species